GAUGAACGCUGGCGGCGUGCCUAAUACAUGCAAGUCGAGCGAACAGAUGAGGAGCUUGCUCCUCUGACGUUAGCGGCGGACGGGUGAGUAACACGUGGAUAACCUACCUAUAAGACUGGGAUAACUUCGGGAAACCGGAGCUAAUACCGGAUAAUAUAUUGAACCGCAUGGUUCAAUAGUGAAAGACGGUUUUGCUGUCACUUAUAGAUGGAUCCGCGCCGCAUUAGCUAGUUGGUAAGGUAACGGCUUACCAAGGCAACGAUGCGUAGCCGACCUGAGAGGCGGAUAGGCCACACUGGAACUGAGACACGGUCCAGACUCCUACGGGAGGCAGCAGUCGGGAAUCUUACGCAAUGGGCGAAAGCCUGACGGAGCAACGCCGCGUGAGUGAUGAAGGUCUUCGGAUCGUAAAACUCUGUUAUUGGUGAAGAACAAAUGUGUAAGUAACUAUGCACGUCUUGACGGUACCUAAUAAGAAAGCCACGGCUAACUACGUG
rnacentral:rRNA from 1 species